UACGUAGGGUGCGAGCGUUAAUCGGAAUUACUGGGCGUAAAGCGUGCGCAGGCGGUUCGCCAAGUCAGGUGUGAAAUCCCCGGGCUUAACCUGGGAAUUGCGCUUGAAACUAGCGGGCUUGAGUGCGGCAGAGGGGGGUGGAAUUCCGCGUGUAGCAGUGAAAUGCGUAGAGAUGCGGAGGAACACCGAUGGCGAAGGCAGCCCCCUGGGCCGACACUGACGCUCAGGCACGAAAGCGUGGGGAGCAAACAGG
rnacentral:rRNA from 1 species